UAAAAGUAUUAAGUUUGCCAGCUUAACAAAUAAAAACACAGGGCCCUCAGCUGAAUUUGUCUUAGUAUAAGCCUGUCUCAUACAAUAUUUUAUCUGGCAAUCCUGAAAAGCUUAUUUACCAACCUUCCUCAUAGAUAUGGGUGAUCAAGAUCCAGAAGAAUCCGCCGCAAUGGUCAGGAUUACAGACUGAGAAAGGAGGUUGCUGAGCACUGAUGACAUCACAGAGCGACUGACCGUACAGGCUGGAUUUUUCCUACAAGCUUCUUACUUGUGUAGUGCUUCUCACUGACAGACCUGGAACUACAUGGGGAAGGGGAUCCUGGAAAAUGUGAAUCUCGGCUUCUCUUUAUUAUGAAAGAGCAAGGAAAUGAUAUCGAAAACAGACUAUCCUAGGUGAAUCUACAAAGACCUCAAAAUAAAAAUUCUAGAUAACUCUGAGAUAUGGAACCUUCAGCACAGGAUUUGAAGAAAGGAUUCCAGCACUGAGCAGAAGAUGGUUAUGAAGAAAGAGAGGGGUGUGAACAAGAUGUCACUCCCAAUCCCUUUCCUGAAGGAGGUUGACUUCGUCCAUUUGUCAGGGCAGGCUUUUAAAGAUUUGGCUCAUUGAUAUUUUUAAUUGGUAAACUGGGGAGAGACCAAUUAUUCAAUCCUCUCUUUUGAGGCCGAAUAAUGCAGAGGCUCUUUGGAUGAUGCAAAGUCUCAUUCAAAAAAGGAAUUCUCCAGGGAAAACUGAAACAAGUGGGGGUCAUGCAACUACUUCUGGCCAAUGGGUUGUAAGCAGAAAUCUCUGCUUGAGACCCUCCAAACUGCUUUUCCUUCUGGCAUGAAGACUAGCAAUGUUCAAGAUGACAGCUUGUCCACUGGCCUGGAACCCCAAGUGACUCUAAGGAGCAAAGCCUUACUGAUGACCUAUAAAGGACAUAAAGCAUAAGCGGAGUAUUUUGUCUACCACUGGGAAUCUGAGAGGCUGGCUUUGUCAUUCGCUAUCUAGUGUGACCCGAGAACCGAGUCACCAGGUCCACACUCAAGAGGAGGGGUUGCACAAGACAAUAAUACUGGAAAUGAAGAUUAUUGGGAGUCAUCUUAGAAGCUGCCUACCACAUAACUGUAUCACAAAUUCACUUUUUAGUGUUUCAAUAACUGCAUGUUAAUAAAAUCAAUUUGCUUUGUA